UUCCGUAGGGGAACCUGCGGAAGGAUCAUUACCGAGUGCGGGCCCUCUGGGUCCAACCUCCCAUCCGUGUCUAUCUGUACCCUGUUGCUUCGGCGUGGCCACGGCCCGCCGAAGACUAACAUUUGAACACUGUCUGAAGUUUGCAGUCUGAGUUUUUAGUUAAACAAUAAUUAAAACUUUCAACAACGGAUCUCUUGGUUCCGGCAUCGAUGAAGAACGCAGCGAAAUGCGAUAAUUAAUGUGAAUUGCAGAAUUCAGUGAAUCAUCGAGUCUUUGAACGCACAUUGCGCCCCCUGGUAUUCCGGGGGGCAUGCCUGUCCGAGCGUCAUUGCUGCCCUCAAGCACGGCUUGUGUGUUGGGCUUCCGUCCCUGGUAACGGGGACGGGCCCAAAAGGCAGUGGCGGCACCAUGUCUGGUCCUCGAGCGUAUGGGGCUUUGUCACCCGCUCCCGUAGGUCCAGCUGGCAGCUAGCCUCGCAACCAAUCUUUUUAACCAGGUUGACCUCGGAUCAGGUAGGGAUACCCGCUGAACUUAAGCAUAUCAAUAAGCGGAGGA
rnacentral:rRNA from 1 species